UGACUCAGUUGGUGGAGCAUGGCGCUUGCAAUGCCAGGGUUGUGGGUUUGAUUCCCAC
rnacentral:tRNA from 1 species